rnacentral:rRNA from 1 species
AGAGUUUGAUCCUGGCUCAGGACGAACGCUGGCGGCGUGCCUAAUGCAUGCAAGUCGCACGGGCUGCCUUCGGGCAGUCAGUGGCGCACGGCUGAGGAACACGUGGGAACGUGCCCUCCAGUGGGGGACAACACCGCGAAAGCGGUGCUAAUCCCGCAUACGCUCUCCUUCCGGGGAGGAAAGCAGCGAUGCGCUGGAGGAGCGGCCCGCGGCCCAUCAGGUUGUUGGCGGGGUAACGGCCCACCAAGCCGCUGACGGGUAGCUGGUCUGUGAGGACAACCAGCCAGACUGGGACUGCGACACGGCCCAGACUCCUACGGGAGGCAGCAGCAAGGAAUUUUCGGCAAUGAGCGCAAGCCUGACCGAGCAACGCCGCGUGGAGGAUGACGGCCUUCGGGUUGUAAACUCCUUUUCGGGGGGACGACACUGACGGUACCCCCGGAAUAAGGCUCGGCUAACUCUGUGCCAGCAGCCGCGGUAAGACAGAGGAGCCAAGCGUUGUCCGGAUUGACUGGGCGUAAAGCGCACGCAGGCGGGUGCGCGCGUGGGGUGUGAAAGCUGGUCGCUUAACGACCAGUCGCCACCUCAUACGGCGUGCCUUGAGCCCGUGAGAGGUCCGUGGAAUUGCCGGUGUAGUGGUGAAAUGCGUAGAGAUCGGCAGGAACACCCAGGGGGAAACCAGCGGACUGGCACGGUGCUGACGCUCAGGUGCGACAGCGUGGGGAGUGAACUGGAUUAGAUACCCAGGUAAUCCACGCCGUAAACGAUGGAUACUCGCGCUCUGGCGGUUCAAUGCCGUUGGGGCGCCCAGCUAACGCGAUAAGUAUCCCGCCUGGGAACUACGAGCGCAAGCUUAAAACUCAAAGGAAUUAACGGGGGCCCGCACAAGCAGCGGAGCGUGUGGUUUAAUUCGACCACGCGAAGCACCUCACCCAGGUUGGACAUGGCACUGCAAGCCCGUGAAAGCGGGUCGCCUUCGAGGGUGUGCCACCGGUGCUGCAUGGCUGUCGUCAGCUCGUGUCGUGAGAUGUUGGGUUAAGUCCCGCAACGAGCGCAACCCCUACGGCCAGUUACUUGUGUCUGGCUGGACUGCCCAUUUCGGGAGGAAGGCGGGGAUGACGUCAAGUCCGCAUGGCCCUUACGCCUGGGGCGACACACACGCUACAAUGCCGCCGGCAGCGCGCUUGCCACACCGCAAGGUGGAGCCAAUCGCCAAGCGGCGUCCCAGUGCAGAUUGGGGGCUGCAACUCGCCCCCAUGAAGGUGGAGUUGCUAGUAACCGCGUAUCAGCCAUGGCGCGGUGAAUGCGUACCCGGGCCUUGUACACACCGCCCGUCACGUCAUGGGAGUGGUCAAGGCGUGAAGUCCGUGGGCCAACCUCCGCAAGGGGGAGGCAGCGGCCGAGCGCCGGGGCCGCGACUGGGACGAAGUCGUAACAAGGUA